rnacentral:rRNA from 1 species
GUCUACAGCCAUACCACCCUGAAUGCGCCCCAUCUCGUCUGAUCUUGGAAGCUAAGCAGGGUUGGGCCUGGUUAGUACUUGGAUGGGAGACCACCCCUGGGUGCUGUAGGCU